AUGCCCCCAAUUCUGAGUUUCUGUUUUUCUGCUUUUCCUGCCUCCGUUUCUGUUCUCCAUCUCCCCUUCGUCUCCCCUGCUUCUCCAUCAUGUCCUAACCCCAUCCUCUGGGGGUACCCUAGGCCAGCCCACACCUCCUUGGGGUGUCCCAGUACCAGCUUGGCAAAAAAGUGGGGCUCAGUAAGAGUAUGUGGGAUGUCUGUUUGGACAGGAGUCACCCAUGGCCUGCCCGUAUUGCCGCCCUGUCCCUGUCGGCCCCGUCCUUGGGACAUGGGCUGCAACUUGGUCGGGUUGGCUGAAGAACUGGACGGAAGGGAUGGAAGAACCCCCGGAGGACCCCCACCCUGGACCACGUCCUUCCUGAUGGCCGCCUGGCGCCUCACGCCCACCCUGUGCCCGUCGCCACCUCCUGGUUUGGGCCGAAGCCGUCGUUCGGAAUCCUCCGUGGGAAGGGACCUCGGACGCGUGAUCCCAGCACUGUCCAGCUUUCCAAUCGGCAGACUAGGAUGGAAGUGCCCUUGUGAGCUGGGGGGCCCUUCAAAGGGCCAAGGAAAAGCGCGGGCCGAGGGACCAGCCUCUCAAAUGGGCUUCGAGCUCCAAUGACCUUCGCUCACCCCCUUGAAAUGUCUGGAAAACAGAAUGGGCAGAUUUUCUGUCUUCAAAGUUUCCGGCUAAACCUCUUCAAGUUCUUUAUUGUUUGGGACUGAGACACUCAGCAAUGGUAAUGGGUCGUUUCUUUUGUAUUUGCCUUGAAAGGCCAAAAUAUUUUUAUAUUGCUACAGACAAAGCCGUCUAUUUAAAAAUGAACUCCAUGUCCGUCGUUUCCCACCGGGGAGACCGUGUACAACGUGUGUGUCUCUGUGUACUCAAGGGUCUUGAAACAGGUUUCUCAUGGGAUGGCCACUCACGGGGGUCCAGG
rnacentral:lncRNA from 1 species